rnacentral:rRNA from 1 species
AUGGUCGAAACGGUCGCCUUCCCGCUCCCGCUCCCGCUCCGGGCGCCCGCGCCGCCGCCUCCCACCUCCAAGACCUUCCGCCACCAGCCCCCCGUGCACUCCCCUCUCCGACUUUUCUCCCCCACCUCCCUCCUCUCCUCCUCACACCCGACCCCCACCUCCUCCUCCCGCACGCCGCGCCUCGGCCGCCCGCACAACCCUACCCGCCAGGGCGGCGGAGGGGGGCAGCCAUGGAACCUGCCGCCCUCCCUCUCCCUCCCCGCGCGCCGCGCGCUCCUCUCCCUACUAUCCAACCCGGACUCCGCGCGCGACACUCUCUCUGCGCUCCCAACCUCCGAGCUCGCCUCCGUGCUCAACGCCCUCGCGUCCCGCGGCCGCCCCACCGUCGCUCUCGCUGCUCUCCACGCCGCGCGGGACCUCCACGGUGAGCACGUCCUCCAGCAUCCCUGCGUGCUCCCGGCAGCCGUCCGCGUCCUCGCGCGCGCUGGCCGCCUCACCGACGCCUCCGCACUCCUCGACGCCGCGCCGGAACCCGACGCCAGCGCCUACACGGCUCUCGUGUCAGCGUUCUCCCGCGCCAGCCGGUUCCGGGACGCGGUUGCCGUGUUCCGCCGUAUGGUGGCUAACGGCAUUCAGCCCGCCACCGUCACCUACAAUGUCGUGCUCCAUGUGUACUCCAAGAUUGCCGUUCCGUGGAAGGAUGUGCUGGCACUCGUGGACUCCAUGAAGAACGACGGGAUUCCGCUGGACAGGUAUACAUAUAACACGCUCAUUAGCUGUUGUCGGCGUGGUGCACUCUAUAAGGAGGCAGCGAAGGUGUUCGGCGAAAUGAGGGCUGCUGGCUUCGAACCUGAUAAGGUCACAUUCAAUUCGCUGCUUGAUGUGUAUGGCAAGGCGCGGAUGCAUGAUGCGGCAAUUGGGGUGCUCAAGGAGAUGGAGCUUGGGGGCUGUCCACCCAGUGUGGUAACCUACAACUCGCUCAUUUCAUCCUAUGUAAAGGAUGGGUUGUUGAAAGAAGCAGCAGAGCUCAAAGAGGAGAUGGAGGUUAAGGGAAUUCAGCCGGAUGUCAUUACAUACACGACACUGAUUUCUGGUCUUGACAGGGCUGGCAAGAUUGAUGCAGCAAUCGGGACAUAUGAUGAAAUGUUGAGGAAUAGAUGUAAGCCAAACUUGUGCACGUACAAUGCAUUGAUCAAGCUGCAUGGGGUGAGGGGAAAGUUCCCAGAGAUGAUGGUUGUCUUUGACGAUCUCAGGUCUGCUGGAUUUGUGCCAGAUGUUGUGACCUGGAACACACUCUUGGCGGUAUUUGGUCAAAAUGGUUUAGAUUCCGAGGUGUCUGGGGUAUUCAAGGAGAUGAAGAAAUCUGGUUAUGUUCCUGAGCGGGACACAUAUGUUUCACUCAUUACUUCAUAUAGUCGGUGUGGCUUGUUUGACCAAUCAAUGGAGAUAUACAAGAGGAUGAUUGAAGCCGGUAUAUAUCCUGACAUAUCAACAUAUAACGCUGUUCUAUCUGCACUAGCUCGUGGUGGGCGUUGGGAGCAGGCAGAAAAGUUGUUUGCUGAGAUGGAGAAUCUGGAUUGUAGGCCAGAUGAGCUUAGUUACUCUUCACUGCUUCAUGCAUAUGCUAAUGCAAAAAAGCUGGACAAAAUGAAAGCUUUGUCAGAAGAUAUAUAUGCAGAGAAGAUAGAGUCACACCACGGGCUGGUGAAAACGUUGGUAUUGGUCAACAGCAAAGUUAAUAACUUAUCCGAAACAGAGAAGGCAUUCCUGGAACUUAGGAAGAGGCGGUGCUCUCUGGAUAUUAACGUCCUAAAUGCAAUGGUUUCCGUAUAUGGGAAAAAUAGGAUGGUUAAGAAAGUGGAGGAGAUUCUUUCACUCAUGAAGGGAAGUUCUAUCAACCUCAGCACUGCAACAUACAAUAGUUUGAUGCAUAUGUAUUCUCGAUUAGGUGAUUGUGAAAAGUGCGAAAAUAUCCUCACCGAGAUCAAGUCGAGUGGUGCACGUCCGGAUCGAUAUUCUUAUAACACAAUGAUCUAUGCAUAUGGAAGAAAAGGGCAGAUGAAAGAAGCCUCAAGAUUGUUUUCUGAGAUGAAAUCUUCAGGCCUGGUACCAGAUAUUGUAACAUACAAUAUCUUUGUUAAGAGUUAUGUGGCCAACUCAAUGUUUGAAGAGGCUAUUGAUUUAGUACGUUAUAUGGUUACUCAUGGUUGCAAGCCCAAUGAGAGAACUUACAAUUCAAUACUGCAGGAGUACUGUAGGCAUGAUAAGAUAGCAGAUGCCAAAUCAUUCCUUAGCAACCUUCCUCAGCUUCAUCCUGGAAUAUCCAAACAAGAACAGCAAAGACUGCUAGAACUGUUGGCUAGGCACACUUCAAGAGAUAGAGGUUGA